GUAGUCCACGCCGUAAACGAUGUCAACUAGCCGUUGGGCACCUUAGUGUGCUUGGUGGCGCAGCUAACGCGAUAAGUUGACCGCCUGGGGAGUACGGUCGCAAGAUUAAAACUCAAAUGAAUUGACGGGGGCCCGCACAAGCGGUGGAGCAUGUGGUUUAAUUCGACGCAACGCGAAGAACCUUACCAGGUCUUGACAUCCAGAGAAGUCGCUAGAGAUAGCUUCGUGCCUUCGGGAACUCUGAGACAGGUGCUGCAUGGCUGUCGUCAGCUCGUGUCGUGAGAUGUUGGGUUAAGUCCCGUAACGAGCGCAACCCUUAUCCUUAUUUGCCAGCGGGUCAUGCCGGGAACUUUAAGGAGACUGCCGGUGACAAACCGGA
rnacentral:rRNA from 1 species